GCCCGGGUGGAGAAAUUGGUAAACUCUGGAGACUUAAAAUCUCCCGCCCUUAAAGCUUGCGGGUUCGAGUCCCGCCCCGGGCACCA
rnacentral:tRNA from 1 species